GGGGACGUAGCUCAGCUGGGAGAGCGCCGCGUUCGCAACGCGGAGGUCGGCGGUUCGAAUCCGCUCGUCUCCACCA
rnacentral:tRNA from 3 species